GUACGGGAGGCAGCAGUGGGGAAUAUUGCGCAAUGGAGGGAACUCUGACGCAGCAACGCCGCGUGAAGGAUGAAGGUUUUCGGAUCGUAAACUUCUUUGAUCGGGGACGAACAAUGACGGUACCCGAGGAACAAGCCACGGCUAACUACGUGCCAGCAGCCGCGGUAAUACGUAGGUGGCUAGCGUUGUCCGGAAUUACUGGGUGUAAAGGGCGUGUAGGCGGGGACAUAAGUCAGAUGUGAAAUUCCACGGCUUAACUGUGGGACUGCAUCUGAAACUAUGUUUCUUGAGUGCUGGAGAGGAAAGCGGAAUUCCAAGUGUAGCGGUGAAAUGCGUAGAUAUUUGGAGGAACACCAGUGGCGAAGGCGGCUUUCUGGACAGUAACUGACGCUGAGGCGCGAAAGCGUGGGGAGCAAACAGGAUUAGAUACCCCGGU
rnacentral:rRNA from 1 species